rnacentral:tRNA from 1 species
GCCCCCAUCGUCUAGUGGCCUAGGACAAAUCAUUUUCAGUGAUAAAACGGGGAUUCAAAUUCCCCUGGGGGUA